CGAGCUUUUCUUAUCUAUUUAGUUUUGUACAUUCGUUUUGAAAUUUAGUUUAGAUUUAUACUUUUUACUCUACUCAUAUUACUUUAUAUUUACCUCCAUCCUUAUGUAGGCCAAGUUUUGUAUUUUAUUGUUCUGGUUUAUUUUCUUUUAUUUCUAUUAUGUGCUCUUACAUAUCCUUUUUCAGGUUGCUUUAAUUCAUUGUUGUUAUCUGAUUUGGGAUCUUCUAUCUUAUAUUUUGUGUUUUGCAUGCUUGUUUGGAGUUUGUGUUUCUGUCUUUUUGCAAACUUUGUUUUAUUUUGUAGACUACUGCUACAUUUCUCGAUGAAUCUCGUGGGAAAGGAUCGAAAUCUGGGCUUUAGUGCAAAGUGACGGAGUUUAGGUUUGGGGCCAAAAUGUCAUCUUUGUCUAUAGCAGCUUAUUGAAAAACCAUGGGUUGUAGCUAUUUUAGUGAGGUAUUGGAGGAGAACAAGCAACUUUCUUUCUUUUAUUUUCCCAAUCAACAACCAAGUAACCUAUACAAAUGGGAAAAAAUUCUUGAUAAUGCUCAUAGGGUUUCAGCUCCAUUUCAUCUUAGAAAUUUCUAAUAUUCUCCAAAGGAAAUAAUAUUUACUCAAUGAAGAAAAUAGUAGAAUAAAAAAUACCUAAAAAGAACAAAAUUCAUGAAACUGGACAUGUGACAAAAAUACAAAAUUGUCUAUACAAGAAAUUAAAAACACAAUAAGAAAAUAAAAACAAAAAUGUGAAACUCGAUAUAUAAAGAUGGAAAGAAACAAAAAGUAAAACAAAACAGAAAUGCAAGAGAAUAUAAACCUGGAUUUGAAAAAACAAAUAACUAAAUAUAUGAAGCCAUAUAAUGAACAAAAAUAGAAAUAAAGAAAACAAAUUAAAAAUAAAAACAAUUAGGAUGAAAAGAAACAAAAAUGAAGUGAACCAAAAGAUGACAAGCAAACAAAAAAUAAAAACAAUUAGGAUGAAAAGAAACAAUAAUGGAUUUAUGAAAGUGUAAAUAGCAGUGGAAAAUUAACAGGAAUUAAAAUACAUUAAAAUAUAAAAGUGAAUUUACAAGAAAAUAAAAUACAUGGAAAUUCCAAAAUAUACAAAACCAAUUGUAUGGAUAUAGAUAAUGGAACAAACAAAACAACUAGAAACAGAAAAAAAGAAUGUGCAAAAAUGAAUGUGAAAACAGAAAAUAAAUAUAAAAUAGAACAAAAUUAAAAAGUAAAAUUGGAUUUGCAAAAAAAGAGAGGAAAUAAAAGUCCAAACAAAUACAGAAAGCAAAUUUUUGAAAUCGGGCUAUGAUCCAACUAAGAAGAAUAAAUACAAUAUAAUGAGUAACCGAAUUUAAAAAAAAAAGGAUAGUGAAAUAGAAAAUCUAAAACAAAAAAAAAUAAAACUGAAUUUUUGAAAGAUAACAUAAAGACACAAAUGGCAAAUAAAAGAUAGAAAGUUGCUUCUUCUCCCCCAAAACCUCACUGAAAUGGCUGCAACUCAUGGUUUUUCAAUGAGCUGCUGUAGACAAAGUUGGCAUUUUGGCCCCAAAUUAUCACCUAAACUCCGUCACUUUGCAGUAAAGCCCAAGUUUCCAUCCUUUCUCAGGAGAUUCUUGGGGAAAUGUUGCAGUAGUCUAAAAAAUAAAACAGAAUUUGCAAAAAGAUAGAAACACAAACUCCAAACAAGUAUGCCAAACACAAAAUAUAAGAUAGAAGAUCCCAAGUCAAAUAACAACAAUGAAUUA
rnacentral:lncRNA from 1 species